rnacentral:rRNA from 1 species
UACGGAAGAUCCAAGCGUUAUCCGGAAUUACUGGACGUAAAGAGUUGCGUAGGUGGCAUAGUAUGUCUGUAGUGAAAGCGUGUGGCUCAACCAUAUACACAUUACAGAAACUGCUAAGCUAGAGGGCGAGAGAGGUAACUAGAAUUCCUAGUGUAGGAGUGGAAUCCGUAGAUAUUAGGAGGAAUACCGAUGGCGUAGGCAGGUUACUGGCUCGUCCCUGACACUAAGGCACGAAAGCGUGGGGAGCAAACGGG